rnacentral:tRNA from 1 species
GCCUUAGUGGCUCAGCUGGUAGAGCGCUACCUUGGUAAGGUAGAAGUCGGGGGUUCGAAUCCCCCCUAAGGCUC